rnacentral:rRNA from 1 species
CCUACGGGUGGCUGCAGUCGAGAAUCAUUCACAAUGGGGGAAACCCUGAUGGGGCGACGCCGCGUGGGGGAAUGAAGGUCUUCGGAUUGUAAACCCCUGUCAUGUGGGAGCAAAUUAAAAAGAUAGUACCACAAGAGGAAGAGACGGCUAACUCUGUGCCAGCAGCCGCGGUAAUACAGAGGUCUCAAGCGUUGUUCGGAAUCACUGGGCGUAAAGCGUGCGUAGGCUGUUUCGUAAGUCGUGUGUGAAAGGCGCGGGCUCAACCCGCGGGGGGCACAGGGUACUGCGAGACUAGAGUAAUGGAGGGGGAACCGGAAUUCUCGGUGUCGCAGUGCAAUGCGUAGAUAUCGAGAGGAACACUCGUGGCGAAGGCGGGUUCCUGGACAUUAACUGCCGCUGAGGCACGAAGGCCAGGGGCGCGAAAGGGAUUCGCUCCCCCUUGUAGUC